rnacentral:rRNA from 1 species
UACAGAGGGUGCGAGCGUUGUCCGGAAUCACUGGGCGUAAAGGGCGCGUAGGUGGCGCCCCAAGUCCGUGGUGAAAGCUCGAUGCUCAACAUCGAGUCGGCCACGGAAACUGGGGGGCUCGAGCACUGUAGAGGCAGAUGGAAUUCCGGGUGUAGCGGUGGAAUGCGUAGAGAUCCGGGAGAACACCGGUGGCGAAGGCGGUCUGCUGGGCAGUAGCUGACACUGAGGCGCGACAGCGUGGGGAGCAAACAGG